CACAACUUGCGUGGGCUGCUUUGUUGCCGCCGCAGAUUCGCGUUACCGGGACACGACACCUCGCACCUCCCCACACCCCCGGGUUUCGGGUCGUCCCCGCGCAUCUUCCUUCCCUCUCCUACCUCCUCUUCCUCUCCCCUCCCGCCCCCAGCGUGGCGAAAGUGCGGCGGCGAAUUCAACGCUGCUCCUGCCGCCGGCCCCUCGCGAUUCGCUUCCGCAGAUUCGCCACCGCCGCCCGCGCUGCUCCCGGAGCCGGAACGGGCCUGAACCCAGCGGCGGGGCCUUAUCCCCUCCCCGUUCCCCCCACCCCUUCCUCUUCCACCUCCAUUUCCCUUCCCCGCUUCUCCUUCCUCCCUUCCCCGCCGCCGUGGCGAAAGUGCGGCGGCGGAGGCGCAGGCCGCUGCGGUGCUGGCGGGCGGCUCCGGUCCGCGGUGGCUGUUCCCGUUCUCCCCCUCCCUCCCCGCCGCGUAGCGGCCCCUCAGCUCCGGGCGAUGCCCCUGGGGCUGCGGUGAGGAGGGAGAACUCCGCCAUGGAGGUCCCGGGACAGGGUAGUGGACCGGUGACCGUCCCCCCCGAACCCGGUAACGAAACCCCGCUGCCCGUUGAGGUUUCCCCCUCUGGGGCGGCUCAGGGAAACGAAGACGGGCGGUUGCGGCCCGGUGCUAAGCGGGUAACGUUUCCCUCCGACGAGGAUAUCGUCUCUGGGGCAGUGGAGCCCAAGGACCCCUGGAGACACGCUGCGUUAAUACGAAAUUUCUGCCGCUCUGAUCCUGCUCUGGAUGAAGACGUGACGUUUGCCUGGCAAAGCAAACCCGGGGCUCGUCCCCCAAGCCCUUCUCUGCUGCUCCAGAAAACCAAAUGUGGUUCAGCGCUCUCAAACGAGCCGCCCUCCCCAGAGGGAGCCCGGGAGGGACAGAUUCCUCAGCCAAGCUUGCCUUUCCCGAGGCUCCGGGCACGCUGGCUCGGAGCUAGAGGCUUUCCCCGAAGGUGUUGUGCCCUUUGGGUGUUGGGGACCUUUUCUUUCAAACUAUUUAACCUCAAACUUCAGCCCCUGAAGGCGCCCGGCGUGAAGGGCCUGAAAGCAAAUUUUCCCUCUCUAAUUAGAGGAAUCCCAUACACUGCUGAUCAUCGCGGCUCUGUGGAAGCUAGCGUCAUUCAGGGCAGAGCUGGCAUUCAGGACCUGCCUUUCUCUUGACUUCAGGAACGCAUUGCCUGUGACACCACUUUUAUUCUUCCUCUCACGUGUGGAUAAUAACUGUUUUUAUUUGGGGCUUUAUUUAUCUCUCAUUCAUCAUUCAUUGGCUAAAAUUACUCCGGUGGACGUGCCUCUGCUUGUUUAACUUCCUUCUGGCUACUUGAAUCCGAGGUCUCCUUCCCAGCCGGUACCAGCAGGGCUGGUUUUGCCAGGCAGCAUGGGGCUCGAUGACAACGCUCGUGUGUCAGUUUGGAUCCUCCUCUCCGGUGCGCUUGCCACCCCGAAGUGCUCGAGGGCUUGAAAGAGGAAGCCCAGAACGUGACUGUUGAUGAAAUCAUGACUGCCUACAAGCAAGCCUGCCAGAAGCUGAACUGCAAGCAAAUACCCAAACUACUGAAACAGAUACAGGAAUUUAAAGAUCUGGCUCCCAGGAUAGACUGCUUAGAUCUGAAAGAGUCUCUUCUCCCCCUCUGCGCUGGGGGAUGCCUUCCAAAACCAACCUGGGAGACCGGCAACAAGAGCAGCCACGUAGCAGGGAUGCUUCCGCAACGCAGCCGGGGAAAAGAUGGAAUGGUCAAUGUUGGCCAGAGCGUUCUUCCUUCAUGGAGCGAUGGUGUUGGUGGUGUUCCUCUCAACCCUGGGUCGUCCUGGCAGCAUCUGCCUCUUGCUGAGGUCCUGCCCAGGCUGUCCCGGUUUCCCAACGAAACUCAUCGGGUGCGGUGCGUGAGUGGAUGGAGUUUGCUCCAGCAAGAUCCAGCUUGGCUCGGGGGACAGAAGCCAUCUGUAGGGGCUGCAGCCUUAGGGUUUAAUCUGUAGCACUUGGUGCCUGUUGUCACUUAUUCAGUGUUGUGGGGGGGAAAUCUGAAGGCUGGGGAACCAUGAGGAAAUAACCUCGCUGCACGGGGAGCUGGGGUGUCCGUGUCCUGAACUGAUUUGCCUGGAAGAGGACAGACGUGCUGCUGGAGGAGUAACAACGCAAGCUUGCCCAAAUACCCCCCCAAAAUAAAUCUUUUACAGGCCCCAUCGCCAUCAUUUGGACUCAGCUUUGCCAAACAGGUUUUUUUUCUUGACUUCUUACAAAUCCUGCAGUCGUCAGCUGGCUGGGCAACCAGAGCCCGUGUCCCCCCUUCCCCUAGAAAUGGGAGUUUCUCAGAAGACCCCAAGCGAUGCAGAAGCCUGGCUGCCAGUUGCUUUAUGCCGUUAUAUGUGAUAUAACACCGGCACAGC